AUGCAAGUUUCUUCUGGAAAGAGCCGCCCUCUUGACACGCUCCCUGCCACCCGGCCACACGGGACGGGGACCUCUGCGCGAUGGGUGGAAAGGGGUGCAGCUGGACCAGGGCGCCUCCCACGAAGGGGGGACCUGCCCGACACCUCCGGUGGCGGGGACAGGGCCUCCUUCCCCCUCGCCCCACGCUGCCUCCAUGAAGCUGUUGCUGCGCCCCUUCCCGGGUUCUCAGAAUUUGUCAGAGAAGCUCUGCGGGGGGAAGCGCUACCCAGGGGUUGGCGCGUGGACCUGGCGUGGGACCGGCCUGUCCGGAACGCCUCCUCAGCUGUCCUUCCUUUAUCACGGAUCCAAGUCCUGCUUUGUGCCAGGCACUGUGUGUGCCCCGAGCCAGGGCUGCAGCCUGGACAUCACAGCGCAGCCGUGACCGCCCACCUGGCAGCUCCCCUCAGCGACAUGCAGCAGCACGGAGCUCCGACGAGGAGGCGCACGCUGAACAAGUCACCUGAACAUCCACACGUUCUCACCAUAAAUCUGGCUAAAAGAAGCAAAGAGUAUCCAUGCUGCAGCCUGAAUCCUCCACAGCCAACAGGGAAUUCUCCAGGACCCACUGCCUCCUCAAAGCUACCACCAGGAAGCAGGAUGCAGGUCCCUUUGCUGAGCCAUCCAAGGACCACUGGGGUGUCUGGUGUCAACCCUGCAAGGACACAGCUCUGCUUGGAGGGCCAAACUCCUUCCACAGAAGUCCUUGGGCUCUGCUCUGACGUCUCCACCUGCCUGCACAGUUGAAGCUUGACUCAGAAUAGGAGACUGUGGCAGAUAGACUGUUUCCCUACCUCCACUGCCUGUCACCUCUGUCACUUUACUUAAAACUCCAAACCACUGCGGGGGCGUGGUGGCGCAUACCUGUAAUCUCAGUGCUGAGGAGGCUGAGGCAGGAGGGUCUCUGUGAGUUCAAGGCCAGCUUGGGCUACACAGCUUGAAUUACAUAGGGAGACUGUCUCAAUAUUACAUACUUCAAACAUGUACUAAUAAAAACAAAUAAAUAUAAAUAGACAUGGAGAGAAAUAAUACAGUAGAGCAGAAGGACCAUAAAAAGAAAAACAAAAAACUGAGCCAUUGUUUAUUUGUAAAACUGGAGCCACGUUCACACUUCCUUCCCAAUACAUCAGACCAGAUGCUGCAUAUAAAGUUCUGAGGCAGGUCAAUAGAGAGAAGUUAUUAUUGUGUGCUGCUGCUCCUCUUCCUCCAUCUCCUCCCCGUUCCUUCUCCCCUACCUGCUUGCCUCCCUCUCCUCCAUCCCCUUCUCCUCCUCUUCCUCUUCCCCCUCCUCUACCUCCUCCUCCCACCCUCCUCUGUGCCCUCCCC
rnacentral:lncRNA from 1 species